GUGACCAUUCCUAGCACUGAUUCCUUUGUUGGCGUCCAGUGCUGCCAUAAGCAGUCACACCUGUCGCGACAUGCGGUCCCUGCUGACAGGCCCUGUAGAGUUACCAGAUUUUCUGUGCGGUGGCUUCACACGUG